AUUGAACGCUGGCGGCAUGCUUUACACAUGCAAGUCGAACGGUAACAGGGAGCUUGCUCCGCUGACGAGUGGCGAACGGGUGAGUAAUGCGUCGGAACGUGCCGAGUAGUGGGGGAUAACGCAGCGAAAGUUGUGCUAAUACCGCAUACGUACUGAGGUAGAAAGUGGGGGCCCUUCGGGCCUCACGCUAUUCGAGCGGCCGACGUCUGAUUAGCUAGUAGGUGAGGUAAAGGCUCACCUAGGCGACGAUGAGUAGCGGGUCUGAGAGGAUGAUCCGCCACACUGGGACUGAGACACGGCCCAGACUCCUACGGGAGGCAGCAGUGGGGAAUUUUGGACAAUGGGCGAAAGCCUGAUCCAGCCAUGCCGCGUGUCUGAAGAAGGCCUUCGGGUUGUAAAGGACUUUUGUCGGGGAGGAAAUCCCCAGCGCUAAUACCGCUGGGGGAUGACAGUACCUGAAGAAUAAGCACCGGCUAACUACGUGCCAGCCGCCGCCGUAAAAC
rnacentral:rRNA from 1 species